AGCAGGAUGUGCUUGCACAUCGCUGACGAGUGGCGGACGGGUGAGUAAUGCUUGGGAACUUGCCUUUGCGAGGGGGAUAACAGUUGGAAACGACUGCUAAUACCGCAUAAUGUCUACGGACCAAACGGGGCUUUUAGCUCCGGCGCAAAGAGAGGCCCAAGUGAGAUUAGCUAGUUGGUGAGGUAAAGGCUCACCAAGGCGACGAUCUCUAGCUGUUCUGAGAGGAAGAUCAGCCACACUGGGACUGAGACACGGCCCAGACUCCUACGGGAGGCAGCAGUGGGGAAUAUUGCACAAUGGGGGAAACCCUGAUGCAGCCAUGCCGCGUGUGUGAAGAAGGCCUUCGGGUUGUAAAGCACUUUCAGUUGUGAGGAAAGGUUGGUAGUUAAUACCUGCCAGCUGUGACGUUAACAACAGAAGAAGCACCGGCUAACUCCGUGCCAGCAGCCGCGGUAAUACGGAGGGUGCGAGCGUUAAUCGGAAUUACUGGGCGUAAAGCGCACGCAGGCGGUUUGUUAAGCUAGAUGUGAAAGCCCCGGGCUCAACCUGGGAUGGUCAUUUAGAACUGGCAGACUAGAGUCUUGGAGAGGGGAGUGGAAUUCCAGGUGUAGCGGUGAGAUGCGUAGAUAU
rnacentral:rRNA from 1 species